CGCGUAGGCGGUUGAUUAAGUCGGAUGUGAAAGCCCCGGGCUUAACCUGGGAACUGCAUUCGAUACUGGUCGACUAGAGUACGAGAGAGGGAGGUAGAAUUCCACGUGUAGCGGUGAAAUGCGUAGAUAUGUGGAGGAAUACCGGUGGCGAAGGCGGCCUCCUGGCUUGAUACUGACGCUGAGGUGCGAAAGCGUGGGGAGCAAACA
rnacentral:rRNA from 1 species